rnacentral:misc_RNA from 1 species
CAACUACUCCUAUGUAUCAAGCUCUCUGGUCUGGAACGUUUUCAGGCUCCAGCAUGUACACAGACUACAGAAACACAGGGUAUACAGCCGAUCCGAUUUGGCAAUCUGGGACUUGGAAGAAGUCUACAGUGAUACACAACCAAAACCUGAACUGCCAACGGAAACCAAACCCUAGGAUCUGUUUUCGGGGUCGCUUUAAAUUGGACAGUAAGGAUUCUGACCACAGGAAAUUCAUAAUUUUAGAGGAAACUGAAAUUCCGUUCUUGAAAAGGGAAAAAAAGGCAGAGCGACUGCAAUCACCGGCGCUUUCAAUUCCGUAUUGGGAUGCCACAAUUUUAGGGAGGCGUCAGACCUUGGGGAGAAGAGGCGAGGGACUGGUGAUCCAGGAGGUGGAAGAUCUUGAGGCACAGCUCUCUGGGCAACCCAUCCAUGUCUCCUCGAGGCUUUCCCAGUUCUCCGGCCCAAUUGUCGCACUCACCGAGAAGCUCUGGAUGAGACUCGAAACGACGAAAGAUUGCUCGGCGUUUCAGAUCCGGAGCUGGAGGUGAAGAGUG